CAACUGAUUGCUGCUAAGCACCAGCCUCUCCAAUUGGACUGCAUUGCCAAUCUCCAUAGGCAGAGAGCCCUCCAACAAAUUAUUUGCAGCAGAGAAUUCCAUCAAGCUGCUGGACUUCCAUAGACUUACAGGUAUAGCACCCGUGAAAUUGUUGGAAUCAAGGUCGAGAACCAUCAAAGGAAGUUCUGCCAAAUACUCUGGUAUCGAGCCAUUAAUUUGAUUAUCAACCAAAACCAACUGGGUCAAGUUAGUACACUUCAAAAACGCAUCCUCAAUACUACCCGACAAGAAGUUUCCAUCAAGAUCAAUCUCCAGAAGCGACACGGCGUUACAAAGCUCUCUUGGUAUCUCCCCAGUCAACAGGUUGUUGCUUAAACUGAUAUGCUUCAAUGUCGAACAAUUCCCAAUUUCAGGCGGUAUUUCCCCCCG
rnacentral:misc_RNA from 1 species